rnacentral:lncRNA from 1 species
UAUACUUUUGUAACUUGUACUCCUUUGUUAGGUGGGGAAAAGUGCAGCCAUGUUUGCACUGGGCUGUCUGGCCACGGACACAGGGCAUCACAGGAGAACCCUGGCAGGCUUUUCCAUCAGCAGGUCAACCAGCCACUCCUCUUCCCUGACACUGCAGAAAGAGAGCCUUGCCCAUGGUGCUCUUCCUCUUCAGAUUCCUGGGGAUCACAGGGCAGAGCAGUGGGGUUCCUGGUGCAUGCACAGUGGAAGGACAUCCACGCAUCACAGGAUAGGUCACAGUAGGGGAGGCUGAUGGUCAUUCAGUUUAGAUAAAAUUCUUGGGGCCCCUCCAGAACUUCUGUGGAGCUCCCUCCAUGCUCCUCCAUGCUUGAAAACAGCCCUCUCAAUCCCAAAGCAAAACUAAGGUCAGAUUUGAUUUCAUUUCCCCCCAAAUACUGGAAAUAUUUUUUAAAUGUAUUUUUUCAUAUUUUCAUAUUUACCAGCAGAGAAAAUGUCUGGGCCCAUACUGAACACUGUCAGGUGGGAAAGAAUAAAAUAAUUAAAUCAAUUCUUUUCAGAGUCUGUCAGCCCAGUCACUGUGUCUAUAAAGCAGUCCCUGGUUUCACUGGUGUCUAGACUCAGCCCAGUCACCUGAAUUCAUUUCCCAUCGAUGCAACUACAGUUAGUAAGGAUAAAUAGAUACUUGGUUAUUUUAUGUGAAUAAUAUGGGAUAUGGGAAUAAAAUGAGGGCAUAAUAAAUCUGGAUAUUAUUGGUACUGUUAGUCCUAAUAGGUUAAUCUUCAUUCCACUCAACUAAUAUAUCCAGUGACCUGAAGUGACCGUUUUCCUGUUUCUGGAUGGGACACUUUAUGUUUGCCCUUACAGAUGCAUGUGCUGCGCAUUUGGGAGGAACGGCUUCCUUUCUUCUGUUUCUUACACCCCGGAUCCUGUUUUCUGCUUGGCACAGGGUGACAUCUUGAGCAAGUCUGUUGAGAAUUGAACCACCCCACCCUUUUCCAUAUAUUGACCAAAACGAAUUUGGAUGAACAGACUGUGGCCUCCUGACUGUCCUUUCAUUCCUUCCAGCAGUGUCCAUG